rnacentral:misc_RNA from 1 species
CCCAUCUCGACAGAACAGUGUUUAUUUUUAGCAAGGGACCUUGUCGUAUAAAGUUGUAUUCCAAAACCAUCGAGGUUUAUUUACAAUCGCUGGUUACACCUGAGUGGGACCCGUUACAGUUAAAAGCGACGACUAUCUCGUGAUUGGAAAUGACAGUUUUGGUUUGAAAUGUCGACAUCGGAAUCGAGUUCAGCAGUUUCCAAAUCGAAUGGGGUCCGAGAUUACAAAGUUGUCAUCUUGGGUGAUGGUGGAGUUGGAAAAAGUGCUCUGGUGAUCCAAUUUGUGUGUCACAGAUUCUUGGAAUACCAUGAUCCUACAAUAGAGGACUCCUAUCAGCAGCAGGCGAGAAUCGAUGGGGAACCAGCCAAGCUGGACAUCCUGGACACAGCCGGUCAGCCUGAGUUCAAUGCUAUGAGGGAGCAGUACAUGAGGAAAGGAGAGGGCUUCAUCAUCUGUUACUCCAUCACUGACCGUCGUAGCUUUGACGAGGUCCUCACCUACAAAAAACUCAUCAACCGAGUACGGUGUAGGGAGGAUAUACCCAUCGUCAUCGCCGGCAACAAGUGUGACCUCGAGGAGAAGAGAAAGGUGUCGGUGGAAGAGGGUAUGGCGUUAGCAAGGCAGCUAGAAUGUCCAUUCUUUGAGACUUCAGCCGUGCUGAGGAAAUGUGUCGACGAUGUGUUCCACAAACUUGUGCAGGAGAUUCGAAGAAAAGAACUUGAUGCUUGGGAACUUGAAAACAAAUCAACACGCAAACUAAAAGGGUUUCGUCGUCUCGGCGCUGUACUUGGUCGUCUUAAUGUGUUCAAAAAAGGGUCGCGGUCACAUAACACCUGAGGUUUUGACCAGGAAUUGCCUUCAACGUCCGUCCUCACAAGAAAGGUUGGGUGUCUACGCAGAGAGUGCCAUUGUUCUAACACAUAGGACAACAUCUGUCACAUCAUUGUGUAAACAUGGAUUUGACUUGAUAAUGCUUUAAUAAUGUAUCAGUCAUCUGUUGUCAGAGUAGAAUUUAGUUUCUAUUUUCUGAGACUUGUAGGCGUGAUGUAAAUAUUUGUGUGAAGUUCUAGUCCGUAUAAAGACUCUGAGCGGAUCGUUUGUUACAUUCCUUAACUUAAGAAAAUUCCUUAAGUUAUCAUUUUCAGUAGGGGAGCAUUAUUGUAGUUAAGAAUAAGUAAUUUCACUCACGAUUUCCCCUUUACUCCAAUAACGCUUUCCUAUGGGAAAUGUACGGAAUUUCCUUCAGUUAAGAAUCUUUUGUGAAACAGUUGUAGAUUUGGGGUGAAUACUGAUUUGUUGUGAAACACAGUUUGUGUCUGUGUGUAACACACAUAACUUUCUAUUAUACAAUCAAGACGCAUUAUUAAGACUAGCAAAUUGGAGGGGGGGGGGGGGGGGGGGGGGGGAGGAUUAAAUGUUGAGUAAUAUUCUUAUUAAAACUGUGUAAUGAAUGACAGUUACGACACAGUGGGAAAAAAAGACCUAGAAUUACUAUUGUUAUACAUGAGCUCUAGUUACACCAAGGUUCAUAGUUAGCAGAGGAUGCCAGCACAUCCUGUAAUGAAAUGUUUAGAUGACGCAGGCACUCGCCCUGAGAAAGCAUCGACAUGUUACAAAACUACCUAUAUCCUGUCCAGUUACUAUCAUAGGGGCUUUGUUCGUGCUUUAAUGAUAAUAUGAAUGUAAAACUACCUAUAUCCUGUCUAGUAACUGUCAUAGGGGCUUUGUUAGUGCUUCAAUGAUAACAUGAAUGUAUGGGUGAGGAUGAUUAUCAAACAAACGUUUUAAUCUCCUAUACACAUGUUUUCACAUUUGUGAGUGAAUAAAUCGUUUUGCCAUAAAAGAAAGUGCACAGUAUUCCAACUAUGCAAUAACUAAUAUUUUUUCUUUAAUAUCCUUUUUUCUGACAUAGUUUUCUCAGAGACAGCUUUCCAAAGUUAGGUAACCUUUACUUACUUACAGUAGAAACACUUGGUGAUUUAGAGUGGCCUAGAAUUCGGUAACCUUUACUUUAAGUAGAAACACUUGGUGAUUUAGAGUGGCCUAGAGUUUGGUAACCUUUAUUUUUAGUAGAAAUACUUGGUGAUUAAAAGUGGCCUAGAAUGACUGUCCAAACUUCGGUAACCUUAACUUUAAGUAGAAAAACUUGGUGAUUUAGAGUGGCCUAGAAUUACUCUCCAAAGUUCGGAAACCUUAACUAAGUAGAAAUACUUGGUGAUUUAGAGUGGCCUAGAUUUACUCUCCAAAGUUUGGUAACCUUAACUAAGUUAGAAAUACUUGGUGAUUAAGAGUGGCCUAGAAUUCGGUAACCUUUAUUUUAAGUAGAAAUACUUGGUGAUUAAGAGUGGCCUAGAAUUACUCUCCAAAGUUUGGUAACCUUUACUUUAAGUAGAAAUACUUGGUGAUUUAGAGUGGCCUAGAAUUACUCUCCAAAGUUCGGUAACCUUAACUAAGUAGAAAAACUUGGUGAUUUAAAGUGGUCUAGAAUUACUCUCCAAAGUUAAUAAUACAGUGUAGUUUUAAUCAACAGCUUAAUUUUUUCACCAUUUCUGCCUUAACCAUUUGUUGUCAGUUGUUUUAUUUUUUGUGUGCUGAAACUUCAUUUUUUGUUUCUGUGAAAACGAUCAUAUUCGGUUUUUACUGUUAUUGGUGUCAAAAUUUUAUAAGUGGCAACACUUCAGUAACAUGCCUAUUUAUCACAGCGAUUAAUAAACUCCACUCUUUAAGCUCCAAUUUCAUACUCGUCUCAUUCUCAAGCUCAGUUUGAGCUCAAGUGUCUUAUUUGCCAUAUAAACAUAAUGUAACUGAAAUCUCAGCUUGAGAUAGACACAAACGGUUUGUGUUGGUAGAGCAUGUAGUUGUAAGGUGGUGGCUUUCAUAUAGAGUGCUGCAGUGCUCCCAACAGUGCUAGCUGAAUCCCUAAACUGGCUGAAGAGCUUUAACUUAUCAUUUGUUGAUCAAGAACACUAAUAAAUAAGGAGAUUUAAUUACCCUUAUAAAAAGCUUUACCGAUUCAAUUGGCUUUAGAAGCAAAAUGCUUUUUAUUUGGCACCAAAGACUGUUUGUGAUAUUCUGUGCGAAGAUGUCCAUUUCUCACUAUAGACUUGGUCAGGAUACAUGAUUCCAGCUCACGGUCAUGUAUGACGAUACUUUCCUAGCCAUUUUCAUACCUAGCCAUUUUCAUAUUCGGUUGUUAUUUCAAUUUCUAUGGUUAUGUCUUUCAUGUGUCAGCAAAAUUGACCUCUUCUAACUUUUUCCAGGUUGAUUUUAGCAAUUCUAGAUUAUAGUUUAACCACGGAAUGAGGUUAGAUUAGGUUAUCUAAGUCCGUGGUUUAACAAUGAACUUCUCCAUUGGUCCCAUUUCAUUCAAGUUUGAUUCAACUCAUUACAAAAUUUUUUCUCAUGGAAAACAUGCAAGUUUUAACAAAUCUUUUAUUGGAAAGAAUGGAUUUCAAAGGUAUUUAAUGAAUAGAAUGUGCAAUAAUAAGAAAAGAACUCAUGAUUGGUCAAAGGGAGAUAAUAGGUAUCUCCAGAUUUAGUGCUAUGAAUAUUGUAUUCUAUUGACGCAUCAUAUUGAGUUAUUUUGUAUUAAGUUAUAUACCUUUGGAUGUAAAGGUAUAUUUUGUAUUAAGUUAUCUACCUUUGGAUUAAAAGGUAUAUUUUGUAUUAAGUUAUCUACCUUUGGAUUAAAAGGGAUAUUUUGUAUUAAGUUAUCUACCUUCGGAUUAAAGGUAUAUUAUCUACCUUCAAAUUAAAAGGUAUAUUAUCUACCUUCGGAUUAAAAGGUAUAUUAUCUACCUUCGAAUUAAAAGGUAUAUUAUCUACCUUCGGAUUAAAAGGUAUAUUAUCUACCUUCGAAUUAAAAGGUAUAUUAUCUACCUUCGGAUUAAAAGGUAUAUUAUCUACCUUCGAAUUAAAAGGUAUAUUAUCUACCUUCGGAUUAAAAGGUAUAUUAUCUACCUUCGAAUUAAAAGGUAUAUUAUCUACCUUCGGAUUAAAAGGUAUAUUAUCUACCUUUGAA